GGCCCAGCUUUUGCUAGUUAAUCAACACAGGUAACCAACGGCGGUUGCCCCACUCUACGACAAAGACGUCGC
rfam:Pseudomonas caspiana strain FBF102 scaffold00003, whole genome shotgun sequence.